GACGUAGGGCGCGAGCGUUGUCCGGAUUUAUUGGGCGUAAAGCGCGCGUAGGCGGACCUGCAAGUCGGGGGUGAAAGCCCGAGGCUCAACCUCGGAACUGCCUUCGAUACUGCGGGUCUCGAGUCCGGGAGAGGUGAGUGGAAUUCCUAGUGUAGAGGUGAAAUUCGUAGAUAUUAGGAAGAACACCAGUGGCGAAGGCGGCUCAGCUGGCCCGGUACUGACGCUGAGGCGACGAAAGCGUGGGGAGCAAACAGG
rnacentral:rRNA from 1 species